GCUCGUCGCAUCCUGGGGCUGAAGCCGGUCCCAAGGGUUGGGCUGUUCGCCCAUUAAAGCGGUACGCGAGCUGGGUUUAGAACGUCGUGAGACAGUUCGGUCCCUAUCCGAUGCAGCCGUAGGAGAUCUGAGGAAGGCUGUCCCUAGUACGAGAGGACCGGGACGGACGCAGCUCUCGUGUGCCAGUUGUCCUGCCAAGGGCACCGCUGGUUUGCGACCUGCGGAAGGGAUAAGCGCUGAAAGCAUCUAAGCGCGAAGCUCGUUCCAAGAUUAGAUCUCCCACAGGGUUAACCUGGUAAGGCCCGUGGUUAGACCACCACGUUGAUAGGCCGGAGGUGUAAGCACGGUGACGUGUUCAGCCGACCGGUACUAAUCGGCCGAGGGCUUGGACCUU
rnacentral:rRNA from 1 species